rnacentral:rRNA from 1 species
AACGAACGCUGGCGGCAGGCCUAACACAUGCAAGUCGAGCGCCCUUUCGGGGGAGCGGCGGACGGGUGAGUAACGCGUGGGAAUAUGCCCUUCUCUACGGAACAGCCUCGGGAAACUGAGAGUAAUACCGUAUACGCCCUACGGGGGAAAGAUUUAUCGGGGAAGGAUUAGCCCGCGUUGGAUUAGGUAGUUGGUGGGGUAAUGGCCUACCAAGCCGACGAUCCAUAGCUGGUUUGAGAGGAUGAUCAGCCACACUGGGACUGAGACACGGCCCAGACUCCUACGGGAGGCAGCAGUGGGGAAUCUUAGACAAUGGGGGCAACCCUGAUCUAGCCAUGCCGCGUGAGUGAUGAGGGCCUUAGGGUUGUAAAGCUCUUUCAGCUGGGAAGAUAAUGACGGUACCAGCAGAAGAAGCCCCGGCUAACUCCGUGCCAGCAGCCGCAGUAA